rnacentral:rRNA from 1 species
UGCCAGCAGCCGCGGUAAUACGGAGGGGGCAAGCGUUGUUCGGAAUUAUUGGGCGUAAAGGGCGCGUAGGCGGCCAAGUAAGUCAGGCGUGAAAUCCCACGGCUCAACCGUGGAACUGCGUUUGAUACUGCUUGGCUUGAGUCCCGGAGAGGGUAGUGGAAUUCCUAGUGUAGCGGUGAAAUGCGUAGAUAUUAGGAGGAACACCAGUGGCGAAGGCGACUACCUGGACGGGUACUGACGCUGAGGCGCGAAAGCAUGGGGAGCAAACAGGAUUAGAUA